rnacentral:tRNA from 1 species
GUCCCUGUAGCGCAAUGGAUAGCACGUUGGACUUCUAAUCCAAAGGUCGUGGGUUUGAAUCCCACCUGGGAUG